AAUAAAAAUAACAUAAAAAGGGAUUAGGGUAAAGUUAAAGGUGACGAUUCACCUUCUUUGAACGAGUCCUCCUCUCCUUCACGAUGAGCUCAUUGGCGGCGCCGGAACUCCCUCUUCUCCGACGAAAGAACUUGUAGCGCCACCGCGAAGCCGUGACAACCUUCGCGUCUUUGACAUCUCCGUCUCAAGCUCUCCGUAUCAUACGCUCGAUUCUCACUUUCUCGGCCCUCGAGUCUCCUUCUCAACACAAUCUAACAACGAUCCCCGCGACACGAUAACACCAAGAACGCGCAAUAAUCUGAAACUGGAUUAUACGGCUCACCGAUCGGAGACAAGUCCGAAGAUCUUCGAUUAUGAAUGCGACGACGAGAAAUCCAGAAUCCAACGACGCGGUGACGAUGAAGUCGGAAGCGCCGUGGUGAUGAUGAUAUUGGUGCGUAAGUUGAUUGAAGAUGAAGAUAAUGCGAUAAGGAUUGUUGCCGGUAGCGAGAAAUCCAAGUAAGCGCCCUUCAAUCUUUUGCUCUUGUUUCCUAAUUCUUGCUUCUUCUUCUACUCUUCUUCGUUGUUCUUCUGCAGGUUGAUGAUGGAAGAUGAGUGCGAUGAUGAAGAUUAAAGAGGAAGCUUGAAGAGGAUGAGGAAUGAAGGUUGAUGAAGAUUCAGAGAAAGCGAUUGAAGCGAUUUCUUAUUCUGAGAAUUGAAGGAGAGGGAGAAUGUUGAAUGAAGAUGAGAGGAGUGAUGAGAGAACGGAUCGAGGGAGCUUUGUGAAGAGUGGCUGCAGAUUUAUAUGAUUCUCAGGGAUGCUGUGUUUAGGGAGAUAGUACAAUGAGGGAUGAACUAUAUGAAUCUUGGAAUCGUGGCGGAAUUUCAGAUUAGGAAGAUGAAGAUUGGAUCCUAGUUUUAGUGUAGAUUUUAUGUAGAUUGGUAUGGAUGUAAUGGAUAUAUUUUUGAACUGGAUGUUGUGAUGAAAUGAGAUGCGAGGAUACUUUUGUAAUGAAGUUUGGAAAUGUAAAGUGUAGUGUGAAGAACUCUUGUAUUUUUGUAAUUUUCAGUAGAAUAUGCAAUGUAGCUUUUGGUUCUUGUCAUGUAGGUGGAUCUUGAGUGGUAAUAUGAUUUUGUAGUUUUGAAUGGAAUUUGGAUGAUGUAAUUUUCUUUGGACAUGAAUACUUCCUUUAGACACACGUGAUGCAGGUUUGAUUUUGUAGGUUGACAACGUGGUGAUGAGUUUGGCAAGCUUGAAGAUGAGGCAAAAAUAGAAACAAGGCUCGGCUGCAAGAACAAGUUUAGGAUAGCCUUUUGUGUUUACAUGGUGUAAUAGUUC